UUUAGAGGGUGUUUAGCUUGUGUUUUGCAUGUGUUUAGUGUGUAUUUAGCAUGUGAUUAGCGUGUGUUUUAUGUGUGUUUAACGUGUGUUUAGUGUGUAUUUAGCAUGUGUUUAGUGUGUGUUUAGUGUGUAUUUAGCAUGUGUUUAGUGUGUGUUUGUUGUGUAUUUAGCAUGUGUUUAGCGUGUGUUUAGUGUGUAUUUAGCAUGUGUUUAGUGUGUGUGUGUAUUUAGCAUGUGUUUAGUGUGUGUUUAACGUGUGUUUAGUGUGCAUGUGUUUAGCGUGUGUUUAGUGUGUGCAUUUUUAGCGUGUGUUUAGUGUGUAUCUAGUGUGUAUUAGCAUGUGAUUAGCGUGUGUUUAGUGUGUAUUUAGCGUGUGAGUGCGUUUAGCGUCGCGUUUAGCAUGUGUUUAGCGUGUGUUUAGCGUGUGUUUAGCGUGUGUAUUUAGCGUGUGAUUAGCGUGUGUUUAGCGUGUGUUUAGCGUUUAGCGUGUUUAGCGUGUGAUUAGCGUGUGUUUAGCGUGUGAUUAGCGUGUGUUUAGCGUGUGUUUAGCGUGUGUUUAGCGUGUGUUUAGCGUGUGUUUAGCGUGUGUUUAACGUGUGUUUAGCGUGUGUUUAGUGUGCGUUUAGCGUGCGUUAGUGUGCGUUUAACGUGCGUUUAGCAUGCGUCCUAGGACUCAGCUCAUCACAGAUGCUGGUCAGGUCGUUACUUUGUGCUCUGUAGUUUCUAAUUUGUAGUUUAAUUUCACUUUGUGGUAUUAUUACCCUGCAUGUGUAAAGAGACGGAAUCUGAUGUGCGCUGUACUGCUCCUGAAUCCAGGUUUAGGAUUAGACCAGGAGAACAUGUUGUGUUCCAGCGGAACCUUAAGCAGAAGUUCCACCUCAUCAUGAUAACACACAGAUGAAUCGUACUGUUUGGAGUUUUAACUUUUUGAAUGUUUGUUGAGGUUUUUUUUUGCGUGUUUCGCCUUCUCUAACAUUCGAUGCGCAGCUCUUAACGUUGUUCUCGAGGAGUUUGAUGUAACGGUGAUGUUAAUGUCACUGUGCUGGUGUGAUCAUACGAUUGUUUUCAAAUCAUUUCCCACAGCACUGUUCAUGUGGAGAUGAUUCAAAACGAAAUAUCUGUACACGUGUGGACGAGGCCUCAGACACAUAGUAAGAGAAAAGUGGACACCAACUGAUGAUGUCAUCAAUGCCUAUGAUGUGAGAGUGACCUAAACAACCCAGCAACAAUCCCCCUAAUCCUGUAAUAUAAUAUAAUACAGACAGCUGCUUGAUAAUAGUUUUGGUUCUCUAUCACCAGUCGUGACUCACGUGAACAACCUCCUGGUGCAGGCGCGAAUACAUCUUGCUCAAAGUUAAUUUGGUAGAAAUGAACACAAAUUGUUCUCUGAAAUGCUUUGUUAGCAUACGUCCUGUUUUUCAGACCUUAAAAAAGGGUCUAAAUUCGAGAAAAUGUCCGUGAUUCAGCUUUAGUUUCAUUAUGAUGUGUUUAUGGUCUGAUACUGCAUCAUGUGUGCGCAUGAUUGCAUCACUUUCACCCCUCUCUGUAAGCCCCGCCUCCUCGCACACACAAAAGAAUGAAGGAAAAAAACGUAAAACGUAGGCGGAGUGAAACCAAUUUUACUUACAAAUAUUUAUGUGAUGCUAAUAGUGUGUCUUUUUUACUGUAUUAAAGUCUGCAUUUAUAGUAACACUGUUCCGAACGCUAUUAAGACCCCCCCACACACACACACACACACACACACACGCACACGCACACCGCAAAUAAAUAAAUAAAUAAAUAAAUAAAACGUUUCCUCUUUUUGGAAAGCCAGAAUAUGGUCACGCUAAUUACUGUGAUGUGACCCGCAUCAGGGACAGUGACUCUUAUUCAUUCAUUCAUUUAUUUAUUUAUUUAAAACAAAUCCAAAUAUUGAACAUGUUUAAGCUCUAAAAUUAGCUCUCAAUAAAAGUAUUUUAGAUCAUACUGCUUUUCUCGUGACUUUAUUUACAUGUGAGCUUGAACUAAUCCAAAAAUAAUCAGAUUACUUUCUUACUGUGAGACUCGGAUUACGUUACUGAGGACAUUUUUUAUGAAGUCAUUUAUAACUGUAAUGGAAUAAAUUAUUUAAGUGACCUUCCAAACCCUGUUUCUGACGUUCACCAACCUGAGACAGUCCUCGUUCUGACUCAGAGUCAGAUCUAAACUUAAACACAGACACGAGGUCUGAUCUCAGACCAGCGACAAACAUGCAGCAGUGAAAACAACACAAUAAACUUAAUACAAAGCUGAACCUGUGACAUGUUUUCACUUUAGAGAACACUCCUCAUUCACUUUUACACACACACACACACACACACACACACACACACACACACACACACAUUCACAUACUCACACACACACACACACACACAUACACUCACACACGCACACACAUACACUCACACACGCACACACAUUCACAUACUCACACACACACACACACACAUACACUCACACACGCACACAUGCACACUCAGACAUGCACACACACACUCACUCACACAUUCACACACACACAUGUACACUCACACACACAGACACACACACACACACACACUCGCACCCUCGCACACACACACACACACACACACACACACACACACACACACACUCACACACACACAUGCACACACACC
ensembl:lncRNA